AAUUCAGGGACCAAAUGUCGAUAUAGAGAAGAAAGAAAAGAAAAGGAGAAGAAAGAGAUCGGGGAAGAAGAAGAGAGGAAGAAGAAGGCGUUGCGUCAAUGGCGGAAGAGUGGGGGAGGCUCGGUCGAGCGUGGUAGCGACGACCGAAGGCGCAGCGGAGGCUGGCAAGUGCAGCGGCAGCGGCUCCAGCAGGCAGCGACAACGGGAGAAAGCGAGGAAGAGGUAGUGGCUUUCUUACCGCCGUUCCGGGCUUUUCCAGCUUCCAAUGGCGGCGAUUUUAGUCUCAAAAUGACCGGUGAAUAGUGGGCUUUCUUUCGGGAGCAGUAGCGAUGCAAAUGGUGGUCGGAGUUGGAAAUUUGCGGUGGAGAGAGAAAGUAGGGGCAGCCGGGAUCUUGGGCAUUUUCUGGCAAAUUCCGGCGAGCUUUGGUCGAUCGGAAGGCAUAUCCGGACUUCCCUCAACUCAAGCUUUCUAAUAGCACCAGUUUUGAGGCAAUCAGACUCUAUUUGAAAAUCGACGGCUGAGAUUGUACAUAAAUUUUUCUGGAUGAGAGGGAGUCGGAUCAGAGGAUCGGAAGCUGGAAUUGUCAUCAGCGCAUUGUUUAGAGUCCAUAGGCGCGUUCGGAUCGUCGAUCGGACUCUGGCGACUGGAGACGAGUCGGCCGAGUGAUCAAGCGUCUCGAUAAAUCUGUCAAUUUGACUCGCUCCAUACGAGGCAUCGGAGCAGGGCUAGGAGGUCGUCAGAAUUGUGUGGUUAAUUUUUCCGCAGUUCUUUUCGUCUAGCAGUCUGAUUCCUUCAUUUUCGGGUUCAAAGUAACUGAUUUUAUUGGUAUGUUUGAUCUUUUAAAAAUUCUAGAAUCUCCGCAGUAGAAAUUUCAGAUUUACUAUUUUGUAAUUUUAUAUAAAUUCAGGUCAUGACUAAUUAUGCUAGCAGACCGAAGUCAAUAUACAGUACCUGAUAAUUUAAGGUUAAUUGUGGAAAAGUGCCAAUGGACAGAGUCUGGAUUGCAUUUGGUUUGAGUUAGA